UACGUAGGGCGCAAGCGUUAUCCGGAAUUAUUGGGCGGAAAGAGCUCGUAGGAGGUUUGUCGCGUCUGCCGUGAAAGACAGGGGCUCAACUCCAGAUCUGCGGUGGGUACGGGCAGGCUAGAGUGAUGUAGGGGAGACUGGAAUUCCUGGUGUAGCGGUGAAAUGCGCAGAUAUCAGGAGGAACACCGAUGGCGAAGGCAGGUCUCUGGGCAUUAACUGACGCUGAGGAGCGAAAGCAUGGGGAGCGAACAGG
rnacentral:misc_RNA from 1 species